rnacentral:sRNA from 1 species
UUUUUAAACAUAAAACGACGUCGUUUCUAAAAAUUAAUAAAAAAAUAGAAACGUUGACUCUAACUCUGUUAAAUUGGUCUGUUAGUUGACUUAACGACAUGUCUUAUUUGGCAAAGUUAACGAAAGUUAAUGAUUUAAAAGAAAAUUCAACUAAAGUUGAGAAUUUAAUUCACCAGACCCAAAGUUGGUGUUUUAUUUCACCACUUUUGGCAAACUGAUGAUUUUUAUGACAUUUUUCCCUUUUCUAAUCCGAGUUUUCGAGUUUGAUUUUGAAUUUGCAUACAAUUUUUUUUAGGUCGUCAGAGAUUAUAGAAGAAUCUGGGUUUUCUGGAAUUAUGAGAAUGCUCAGCUACCUAGGGGAUUCAAUCGAACGUAUGUUGUUCGGAUGUUCCGUAAUUUUAUGAGGAGUAGAGGUUAUUUUGGACAAAUAAGCAUACUAAUGGUUGUUUCAGAGGUUAUUCCUUCUAAGAUCUCUUAUCAAACGUAUGAAGCCCUAUACGCACAAUCUUUGAUCGAUAACCACUUAAUUGUUGAGAAUCUGGAUGACCGUAAGUCUCUCUCUCUUCUUUAUGUUAAAAUUGUUUCAUAUUCUUUUGUAAAUUGUUUGAAUUUUUUCAGCUAAAGAGCAAGCUUCCGAUGAAUUUCUUUACGACGAGAUGAGACAUUUGGAAAUGGAUAAUGACGCUAGUUCGAAUGUUCUAGAAUUUACUAAGAAGUAGAGGUUAUUUCAGAGAAAUAACCAUAAUAAUGGUUGUGUCUGAGGUGAUUCUUACUAAGAUCUCGUAUGAAACGUAUGAAGCCCUCUAUGAAGAAUCUUUGAUAGAUAACCAUCUAAUAGUUAAGGAUCUGGAUGAACGUAAGUCUCUCUUUCUUCUUUAUGUUAAAUUGUUUGAGAUUCUUUUGUAAAUUGUUUGAGAUUCUUUAAUAUUUUUGAGCUGAUGAAGAGCAAACUUAU